GCCAGUGUGGCUUAGUGGUUUGAGUGAUGGAUUUGAACUGUGAGAGACCAGGGUUCGAAUCCUUGCUUGGCCA